rnacentral:rRNA from 1 species
AGUGAGCGCUGGCGGUAGGCCUAACACAUGCAAGUCGAACGGCAGCACAGUAAGAGCUUGCUCUUACGGGUGGCGAGUGGCGGACGGGUGAGGAAUACAUCGGAAUCUACUUUUUCGUGGGGGAUAACGUAGGGAAACUUACGCUAAUACCGCAUACGACCUACGGGUGAAAGCAGGGGAUCUUCGGACCUUGCGCGAUUGAAUGAGCCGAUGUCGGAUUAGCUAGUUGGCGGGGUAAAGGCCAACCAAGGCGACGAUCCGUAGCUGGUCUGAGAGGAUGAUCAGCCACACUGGAACUGAGACACGGUCCAGACUCCUACGGGAGGCAGCAGUGGGGAAUAUUGGACAAUGGGCGCAAGCCUGAUCCAGCCAUACCGCGUGGGUGAAGAAGGCCUUCGGGUUGUAAAGCCCUUUUGUUGGGAAAGAAAAGCAGCAGGUUAAUACCCCGCUGUUCUGACGGUACCCAAAGAAUAAGCACCGGCUAACUUCGUG